GACAGAGGGUGCAAACGUUGUCCGGAGUUACUGGGCGUAAAGCGCGCGCAGGCGGCGGUGUUGGCCCGGCGUGAAAGCCCCCGGCUCAACCGGGGAGAGUCGUCGGGGACCGCACCGCUUGAGGGCGGUAGGGGCUGGUGGAAUGCCUGGUGUAGUGGUGAAAUGCGUAGAGAUCAGGCAGAACACCUGGGGCGAAGGCGGCCAGCUGGGCCGUCCCUGACGCUGAGGCGCGAAGGCGUGGGGAGCGAACGGG
rnacentral:rRNA from 1 species